CUACGUGCCAGCAGCCGCGGUAAUACGGAAGGUCCGGGCGUUAUCCGGAUUUAUUGGGUUUAAAGGGAGCGUAGGCUGGAGAUUAAGUGUGUUGUGAAAUGUAGACGCUCAACGUCUGACUUGCAGCGCAUACUGGUUUCCUUGAGUACGCACAACGUUGGCGGAAUUCGUCGUGUAGCGGUGAAAUGCUUAGAUAUGACGAAGAACUCCGAUUGCGAAGGCAGCUGACGGGAGCGCAACUGACGCUGAAGCUCGAAGGUGCGGGUAUCGAACAGGAUUAGAUACCCUGGUAGUCCGCACAGUAAACGAUGGAUGCCCGCUGUUGGUACUUGGUAUCAGCGGCUAAGCGAAAGCAUUAAGCAUCCCACCUGGGGAGUACGCCGGCAACGGUGAAACUCAAAGGAAUUGACGGGGGCCCGCACAAGCGGAGGAACAUGUGGUUUAAUUCGAUGAUACGCGAGGAACCUUACCCGGGCU
rnacentral:rRNA from 1 species